rnacentral:lncRNA from 1 species
UUGGAAAUACAUACCUGUGGAUGUAUUUCAAGGCCUACCUUCAAACUCAGUCCCUCUUUGCUUGACAUCAUCAGGAAAUCGAAAACAAACAAUUUCCUCUGGUUCAUCCUUGGGAGCAAUUUCCAAACGCUUGAAGGUACCACUUUCAUCUGUACAAACAAUCGUACGCAAGUAUAAACACCAUGGGACCACGCAGCUGUCAUACCGCUCAGGAAGGAGACGCGUUCUGUCUCCUAGAGAUGAACGUACUUUGGUGCGAAAAGUGUAAAUCAAUCCCAGAACAACAGCAAAGGACCUUGUGAAGAUGCUGGAGGAAACAAAAACCUAUCGGCUGCCUUUGAUACUGUGAACCAUCAGAUCCUCCUCUCCACCCUCUCCGAGUUGGGCAUCUCCGGCGCGGCUCACUCUUGAAUUGCGUCCUACCUGACUGGUCGCUCCUACCAGGUGGCGUGGCGAGAAUCCGUCUCCGCACCACGUGCUCUCACCACUGGUGUCCCCCAGGGCUCAGUUCUAGGCCCUCUCCUAUUCUCGCUAUACACCAAGUCACUUGGCUCUGUCAUAUCCUCACAUGGUCUCUCCUAUCAUUGCUACGCAGACAACACAUAAUUAAUCUUCUCCUUUCCCCCUUCUGAUAACCAGGUGGCGAAUCUCUUCUCUGCAUGUCUGGCAGACAUAUCAGUGUGGAUGACGGAUCACCUCCUCAAGCUGAACCUCGACAAGACGGAGCUGCUUUUCCUCCCGGGGAAGGACUGCCAGUUCCAUGAUCUCGCCAUCACGGUUGACAACUCCAUUGUGUCCUCCUCCCAGAGUGCUAAGAGCCUUGGCGUGACCCUGGACAACACCCUGUCGUUCUCCGAUAACAUCAAGGCGGUGACCCGAUGCUGUAGGUUCAUGCUCUACAACAUUCGCAGAGUAUGACCCUGCCUUACACAGGAAGCGCCGCAGGUCCUUAUCCAGGCACUUGUCAUCUCCCGUCUGGAUUACUGCAACUCGCUGUUGGCGGGGCUCCCUGCCUGUACCAUUAACCUCUCUGGGGUCGGUGGGAUGAAAUCGU